rnacentral:rRNA from 1 species
GUAAAGUGGCGCACGGGUGCGUAACACGUAGGCAAUCUUCCCUUAGGUGGGGGAUAACCUUCCGAAAGGAGGGCUAAUACCGCGUAAGACCACGGCUGGUUCGCCAGCUGAGGUCAAAGGUGGCCUCUGCAUGCAAGCCACCGCCUGAGAAUGAGCCUGCGGCCCAUCAGCUAGUUGGUAAGGUAACGGCUUACCAAGGCUAAGACGGGUAGCUGGUCUGAGAGGAUGAUCAGCCACACUGGCACUGAAACACGGGCCAGACUCCUACGGGAGGCAGCAGUGGGGAAUCUUGGUCAAUGGGCGAAAGCCUGAACCAGCGACGCCGCGUGAGUGAUGAAGGCCUUCGGGUUGUAAAGCUCUGUGGGGAGAGACGAAAAAAUUUGGCGCGAAUAGCUCCAGAUCUUGACGGUAUCUCCUUAGCAAGCACCGGCUAACUCUGUGCCAGCAGCCGCGGUAAGACAGAGGGUGCAAACGUUGCUCGGAAUUACUGGGCGUAAAGCGCGUGUAGGCGGACUGAUAAGUCAGGUGUGAAAUCCCCGGGCUCAACCCGGGAACUGCACUUGAAACUGACAGUCUUGAGUGAUGGAGAGGAUGGCGGAAUUCCUGGUGUAGAGGUGAAAUUCGUAGAUAUCAGGAGGAACACCGGUGGCGAAGGCGGCCAUCUGGAAAUCUACUGACGCUGAGACGCGAAAGCGUGGGGAGCAAACAGGAUUAGAUACCCUGGUAGUCCACGCCGUAAACGAUGAGUGCUAGGUGUCGUGGGUUUUGACCCCCGCGGUGCCGUAGCUAACGCAUUAAGCACUCCGCCUGGGAAGUACGGUCGCAAGACUAAAACUCAAAGGAAUUGACGGGGGCCCGCACAAGCGGUGGAGCAUGUGGUUUAAUUCGACGCAACGCGAA